rnacentral:rRNA from 1 species
GACGUAGGGCGCGAGCGUUGUCCGGAUUUAUUGGGCGUAGAGAGCUCGUAGGCGGUUUGUUGCGUCGGCUGUGAAAACCCAUGGCUUAACUGUGGGCUUGCAGCCGAUACGGGCAGACUAGAGUUCGGUAGGGGAGACUGGAAUUCCUGGUGUAGCGGUGAAAUGCGCAGAUAUCAGGAGGAACACCGGUGGCGAAGGCGGGUCUCGUGGGCCGAUACUGACGCUGAGGAGCGAAAGCGUGGGGAGCGAACAGGA